GCGGCGGAGAAGGGCCACGCCCGCGGCGGUGCUGAUCGGGGCAAUGGCUGAGAAGUUCGACCACCUGGAGGAGCACCUGGAGAAGUUUGUGGAGAACAUCCGGCAGCUCGGCAUCAUCGUCAGUGACUUCCAGCCCAGCAGCCAGGCCGGGCUCAACCAGAAGCUGAAUUUUAUCGUGACUGGCUUACAGGAUAUUGAUAAAUGCAGACAGCAACUUCAUGAUAUUACUGUACCUUUAGAAGUUUUUGAAUAUAUAGAUCAAGGUCGAAACCCGCAACUCUAUACCAAAGAGUGCCUGGAAAGGGCUCUAGCAAAAAAUGAACAAGUUAAAGGGAAGAUAGACACAAUGAAGAAAUUUAAAAGCCUGUUGAUUCAAGAACUUUCUAAAGUAUUUCCAGAAGACAUGGCUAAAUACCGAAGCAUCCGAGGGGAGGACCACCCCCCGUCCUAAUUUCAUCCUCCCUCUGUGUGAACAUCCUCCUAGUCUUGUAUGAAUUGCCGUGACCUUCAGGCAGCCUGUGGACUAGUGGCCUCCGAGACAGCGGGGCCUAGAGGGCUUUACAGAGCUGUGCUGCCAGGGGCCCUGUGCUUGCAGGGGCUGGGCUGCUGCGUUAGAGUCCUCUCCUCCCUUGACUUCUAAACAACACACUCCACCUGCACAUUCAGUGUUGGGUUCCUCAGGUGUUCUCUUUCGUUGUACAUCUGCUCCCUGGGCAAGCUCAUCCAUCUCAUGGCUCCAGUUACAAUCCUGUGCCAGAUUCCCAGGUUUGUAUACAUCCCUGCUAAGUGAGUCCUACACAUCCUUAAUCUACCUUUCUGUUCCUCUCCACUUGGCUAUCUCCCAGGUGCCUCCAACUCAGUGUCCCUAAAGUUGGACUCAGCGUCUUUCCC